rnacentral:sRNA from 1 species
CGGGGGUCUGCGUGGACCUGCGGGAGAGUGGGGCGUGAGCGAGGCUCGCCGGGGACCGCACGGCCCUGCGCUCCUCGGAAGCGGGCGACGGCGGGAGAGCCCGGCGGCUGCAGAUCGAGCAACUCCAGACGCCCUAUGCCACCUCGGACCAGGACGCACAGACCCUGUGUAUCACCCCGGGUCCCGCACCUGCGUGGGAUCCGCCCGGCAACACCCGAGUGCGGUAGUUUGAGAGACAGAGUCUCACCAUGUGACUUAGGACUGUCUGGAACUCCUGCGUAUAAACAACUCUUCUGUCUAAACUUCCCAAGUAACGGCGACUACAGACUGCUGAAAGUGUUAACCUGGGGGCAGGUGUUAAUCCCACCCAGCAAGAAUAAGACGCCUGCCACAGUUUGUGAGCCAAAAUUGUACGAUGGUGAAACCUGUUUUCAGCCUGCUCCUCUCUGGGCAUUAGCCUGUCAGGAGCUGAUUCAUGAGCAGGAGUAACAAAUGAGGAACUGGGCUCUGCCUCGAGAACUCCGUUCCUCUGUGUGACCAGGACUGCAUGCUGACAGGCUCCCAAGGAGAAACCGACCAAGGCCACAGAGGGCAUCCAAGAUUUUUCAACACAAACAACUAAAUCUUCUCAGAUCAAAAGGUUUGGUUUUCUUUUAAAAAAAAAAUGUUGUAGAAGAUAUUGCCCUAGAAUUAGCCCAACUUGAUUUGGGAUUACGCAUCUUUCACAACUCUCACCUUUUAUGACAAACAAUAACAACAACAAAUCAACAAGAAGAAGGCCAAUAGAAAGCCAGUGCAAAGACUCCAACAGCUGCCCUCGACAUUUGUUACCCCUGGAGCAGGGUCAGCAGCCUCUCCAGUGGAAGCUGUAGGGUGCUGUGCCUGGGGACUGCCUACCUGUGUUCUUGGACACCACACAAGCUGUAAUCCAUCCUCCACCAGCAUCUUUCUGUAUUUGCCAGUGGUUUUACUACAGACAUGAUACAUGGUCCAUAGUACUCAGAACUGAAUCUCGGUCCCUGAGAUGUUGCUAAGGGGUGUGAUAAGUGCCUGGAAGGACCCAUAAGUCACCAAUACUAACAUCUUACAGCUAGAGCUUGGCCGACUCUGGAUGGCUACAUGCAGUGUUGGAGAAGAGCCCUGUUAUUACAGAAGAUGCUUGCCACAUUCGAGGCGGGGUCUCGCACCUGCAGAAAAAUAGCUCACAUCUGUCCUUGCUGUGGAGUAAACUGGUGAUAUUUCAUAUCUUCACCACCUCCCUGUAAGAAAGAAUCUUGCAAUUCCAGCUGUUUUGUUCAAAAGAUCAAACACCUCACUUUGUACCGUGGACUCUGAAAAAGCCUCUAAGACUUGGACGGAAACUGUCAGGCACCCGUUUUAGUUCCUGUAGACAGCUAGAGACUUUUCUGUAAGAAUCCAAAUGCUUUAAAAAUAAAUGAGACGAUAGCGUCAUCUAAGUUCCCAGCCAUCCUCUCAUGGGUGCUAGAGCCCCUUACCUGCUAUGACACAUUCUUCUCUGGGCUGUGCAGUUGGCUCAGGUGAGAGCUACAGGGCCAGAGCAGCGCUGAUGUUGCCUGCAUCGUCAGCAACUCCAGGCUCUUCUGCCUCCAGGGCCAACUCAUGAUGAACGUGGCAGGCUCAAACCUGAGAAAUGAAACACUUGAAAGAAUCCUAGAGUUGGUUAGGGAGAGAAGACAGUUCUUCUGUAAUUGUUGGUUCGAGGGGGAAUUUUCAGAGCUUCGAGAGGUAGACAAGUGACCUAUGACAACAGACAAGCAAGCAGCCCCUGUCUAGGUUCCUUCUAUAAAGUAAUGGGGUAGGCACUGUCUUCUACUUGCACUAGACGGUCUAAUGCAUUAUUCCUCAUUCUACAGCCACAGGCUUUGACAUGGCAGUGUGAUGACACACACUGGCAGUGUCUCUGGACAGCCUGUGGAGAGUUUCAUGCAAAAAAAAAAAACAUGACCUGCUCCUGCAUCAGCCAUCUCAGUGCCUCUGGCUCUGAUCCACAGGUUCCUUUGGCCAACCUCAGCUUUGCUCACAGUGGGGAAGUCACCAGUACCCAUAACCAAGAGUUCCCCAGACUGCACUGCAGACCUCCGCCAUAUAAACAGCUUCACAGCACCAUAGGCGACCUCCAGGGAUUUGACAUGAGACAGGUCACUGUGAGGUCUGGCCUGUUGUUAUGUACUGUGAUCCCUGGUUGCCUCGGGGAUGAGAGAUUCCUCACAUACACCAGGUGAUGUUAUGUAAACCUGCUCCUUAAAUUAAAACUUUUGUUUGAAUAAA